rnacentral:rRNA from 1 species
UGCGUAGGCGGGUUUCUAAGUCAGAGGUGAAAGCCUGGAGCUCAACUCCAGAACUGCCUUUGAUACUGGAAGUCUUGAGUAUGCCAGAGGUGAGUGGAACUGCGAGUGUAGAGGUGAAAUUCGUAGAUAUUCGCAAGAACACCAGUGGCGAAGGCGGCUCACUGGGCCAUUACUGACGCUGAGGCACGAAAGCGUGGGGAGCAAACGA